GGGAGGGAGAGGAACGAAGGAGAAGCAGUUAGAGGAGAUCCACUCACAGGAUUCUGCGUUGUUGAUUUGUGUGUGGAAGUAUCGUGGGUUUUGUCUGCCUCCAUUGUUGCUCGUCUGCUGAAAUAAGUUGUACCCCAGCAGGCCCCUCUUCAGGUCCAGCGGGUUCUCUGCUCCUCCAGCGGGCAGUAUGAAGUGGGUAAGAGCCCCACAAGGCCCCACAAAGGCCCCCAGCCCAGCAAAGCCGUACAGGAAGACGAAAUGAUCAGUAACAAGGCAAAAGACUCCGGUGGGCGGACAUGUUGAAGUGAAGUUGUGGCUGACUCCUCCCCAACACCGGACGCGGGCCAAUCAGCGCUCACCGUUGCCUACGUCACAGCCUCUUGACCAAUAAACGAGCUGGGACACUCAUAUCACCUCCCGCUGCAGGACAGGGACAACAGGCGAGUGUGGCAGGCCAUCAACUGGAAGGGCUGUUCACAGGAUGAUAAUGAUAAUAAAGUUAAGCCUAUUGAUGAAGAAUUUAAGCAUUUUUACGAAGAUUUACUAGGCAUUGCCACAAGCAACCGUGCUGAUCAAUGCCGAGAUGUUACUGUGUCGAUUCCAGUUUUAGACGAUCUGAUCUCCCCUGGUGAGGUCAGUGCCCAGGUGGAUCACAUCAAGGCAGACGAAGCGUGUGGCCCGGACGGCAUCCCACCUGGAGUGUUCAAGCUGUUACCAGUUCAGUGGUUAAUGAUUAUCACAACUGUUCAGUACGAUAUUUGCCACCGCUCAGCACCCUACGUCCUGGACUAGGGCUAAGUUUUCCACUAUAUUCCAGAAGGGUGACCGGAAAGACACACAGAGGACACAAAGAACCAUAGAGGCAUUAGUGUAAUAAACAGCAUUGCUAAAUUAUUUGAUAUGUUUGUAUGUUCAAAAUUAGAGAAGUGGCUCACUCCGUACCGUGAACAAGCUGGGGCACAGAACAGGCGUGGUUGUCUCGAACAUAUUGUAACUUCGCGUAUACUGACCGACUUAGAGAAAGAAAAAUUAUUCGUGACAUUCAUUAACUUGAGCCAAGCAUACGAUCUGGUACCGAGGCACAUGUUUGUACGAAUCUUUAAACGCUUGGGGUGUGGCACGGUGAUGUUGGCUGUUACCGCUGCCAUGUACAGUGUGACCGAGAGCGUUAUCGGCACCGCGGUGUUCACGGCCACGCUAGGAGUGCGACAAGGCUCCCCAACAUCGUGCCUACUGUUCGUUCUUUACGAUAAUGAUUUGAUUAAAUUAAUAAGAGAGAACUGUGAGAACGAUGGGUUUUAAAGUGGCUGCAUGUUUUAAUAUUCAUGGAUGAUGCCGCUUUCCUUGCUACAGCACGCGAAAGAAUGAUCUCCAAGUUAUCUCUAGUGAAGCGAUAUUGCGAUGAUUACGACAUGAAGGUAAAUGAGUCCACCACCAUCACCACCAUCACCACCAUCACCACACCACAUCACUACGUCUCAGCCACACUUGUCUAAAUCUACGACGUAACGCACAUCACACGCGUCG